rnacentral:rRNA from 1 species
GACGAACGCUGGCGGCGUGCCUAACACAUACAAGUGGAGCGACGAACCAGGGCUUGCCCUGGGGCGAAGCCGCGAACGGGUGAGUAACACGUGGGUAACCUGUCCUAAUGACUGGAAUAACCCGAGGAAACUCGAGCUAAUACCGGAUAUGCCCCCAGCUCAUAAGAGCUGUGUGUAAAGGAAGCUUCGGCCUCCGCAUUAGGAUGGGCCCGCGGACCAUUAGCUUGUUGGUGGGGUAAUGGCCUACCAAGGCAACGAUGGUUAGCUGGUCUGAGAGGACGAUCAGCCACACUGGGACUGAGACACGGCCCAGACGCCUACGGGAGGCAGCAGUGGGGAAUCUUGCGCAAUGCGCGAAAGCGUGACGCAGCAACGCCGCGUGAGGGAAGAAGGCUCUCGGGUUGUAAACCGCUGUCAGUGUGGAGGAAAGCUCGGUGUAUAGCCGAGUUUGACUAAUACGCAGAGGAAGUGAGGGCUAAACUCGUGCCAGCAGCCGCAGUAA